CACAGGUGCUGCAUGGCUGUCGUCAGCUCGUGUCGUGAGAUGUUCGGUUAAGUCCCGCAACGAGCGCAACCCUUAUCCCCUAGUUGCCAUCAGGUAAAGCUGGGAACUCUGGGGAGACUGCCGGUGAUAACCGGAGGAAGCGGGGAUGACGUCAAGUCCUCAUGGCCCUUACAUCCCGGGCUACACACGUGCUACAAUGGCAGGUACAGAGGGCUGCGAAGCCGCGAGGUGGAGCGAAUCCCAGAAAACCUGUCUCAGUCCGGAUUGAAGUCUGCAACUCGACUUCAUGAAGGCGGAAUCGCUAGUAACCGCGAAUCAGCAGGUCGCGGUGAAUACGUUCCCGGGCCUU
rnacentral:rRNA from 1 species